GAUGAACGCUGGCGGCGUGCCUAAUACAUGCAAGUCGAGCGAACGGACGAGAAGCUUGCUUCUCUGAUGUUAGCGGCGGACGGGUGAGUAACACGUGGAUAACCUACCUAUAAGACUGGGAUAACUUCGGGAAACCGGAGCUAAUACCGGAUAAUAUUUUGAACCGCAUGGUUCAAAAGUAAAAGACGGUCUUGCUGUCACUUAUAGCUGGAUCCGCGCUGCAUUAGCUAGUUGGUAAGGUAACGGCUUACCAAGGCAACGAUGCAUAGCCGACCUGAGAGGGUGAUCGGCCACACUGGAACUGAGACACGGUCCAGACUCCUACGGGAGGCAGCAGUAGGGAAUCUUCCGCAAUGGGCGAAAGCCUGACGGAGCAACGCCGCGUGAGUGAUGAAGGUCUUCGGAUCGUAAAACUCUGUUAUGAGGGAAGAACAUAUGUGUAAGUAACUGUGCACAUCUUGACGGUACCUAAUCAGAAAGCCACGGCUAACUACGUG
rnacentral:rRNA from 1 species